rfam:Oryza barthii chromosome 1, whole genome shotgun sequence.
AAUUAGGUUUCCGUGUCCAACGUUUGACCGUCCGUCUUAUUUGUAAAAAAUAUGAAAAAAUAUGUAAAGUAUUAAUCAUGUUUUAUCAUCUAACAACAAUAAAAAUAUUAAUUAUAAAAAAGUUUUAUAUAAGAUGGAUAGUGAAACGUUGGAUACGAAAGCACAUGAUUUGAUUUUUU